GCAAACUUGGUCAUUUAGAGGAAGUAAAAGUCGUAACAAGGUUUCCGUAGGUGAACCUGCGGAAGGAUCAUUAACGAGUUUUGAAAGGGGUUGUAGCUGGCCUUUUACGAGGCAUGUGCACGCCCUGCUCAUCCACUCUUAACCUCUGUGCACUUAUUGUAGGUCGGUGAAAGGCUUGUUGCUUUUAUUAGUGCAAGCUGGAAGCCUUCCUAUGUUACACUACAAACGCUUCAGUUAUAGAAUGUUUUAUUGCGUAUAACGCAUUUAUAUACAACUUUCAGCAACGGAUCUCUUGGCUCUCGCAUCGAUGAAGAACGCAGC
rnacentral:misc_RNA from 1 species